UUAGCAUAUCAAUAAGCGGAGGAAAAGAAACCAACAGGGAUUACCUCAGUAACGGCGAGUGAAGCGGUAACAGCUCAAAUUUGAAAGCUAGCUCUUUUAGGGUUCGCAUUGUAAUUUGUAGAAGAUGCUUCGGGUGUGGCCCCGGUCUAAGUUCCUUGGAACAGGACGUCAUAGAGGGUGAGAAUCCCGUAUGUGACUGGGUGCCUUCGCUCAUGUGAAGCUCUUUCGACGAGUCGAGUUGUUUGGGAAUGCAGCUCAAAAUGGGUGGUAAAUUUCAUCUAAAGCUAAAUAUUGGCCAGAGACCGAUAGCGCACAAGUAGAGUGAUCGAAAGAUGAAAAGCACUUUGGAAAGAGAGUUAAACAGUACGUGAAAUUGUUGAAAGGGAAGCGCUUGCAACCAGACUUGCGCGCUGAUGAUCAUCCGGGCUUCUGCCCGGUGCACUCGUCUGCGCUCAGGCCAGCAUCGGUUUCGGUGGUGGGAUAAAGGCCUUGGGAAUGUAGCUCCUCUCGGGGAGUGUUAUAGCCCUCGGUGCAAUGCCGCCUACCGGGACCGAGGACCGCGCUUCGGCUAGGAUGCUGGCGUAAUGGUUGUAAGCGACCCGUCUUGAAACACGGACCAAGGAGUCUAACAUCUAUGCGAGUGUUUGGGUGUCAAACCCAUACGCGUAAUGAAAGUGAACGGAGGUGAGAACCCUUAAGGGUGCAUCAUCGACCGGUCCUGAUGUCUUCGGAUGGAUCUGAGUAAGAGCAUAGCUGUUGGGACCCGAAAGAUGGUGAACUAUGCGUGAAUAGGGUGAAGCCAGAGGAAACUCUGGUGGAGGCUCGCAGCGGUUCUGACGUGCAAAUCGAUCGUCAAUUUGCGUAUAGGGGCGAAAGACUAAUCGAACCAUCUAGUAGCUGGUUCCUGCCGAA
rnacentral:rRNA from 1 species